rnacentral:rRNA from 1 species
AGUGGCCUACGGGGCGCAGCAGUAGGGAAUUUUCGUCAAUGGGCGCAAGCCUGAACGAGCAAUGCCGCGUGAACGAGGAAGGUCUUCGGAUCGUAAAGUUCUGUUGAAGGGGAAAAAGAGCGGAGAGAGGAAAUGAACCCCGAUUGAUAUUACCCUUCGAGGAAGUCACGGCUAACUACGCGCCAGCAGCCGCGGUAAUACGUAGGUGGCGAGCGUUAUCCGGAAUGAUUGGGCGUAAAGGGUGCGUAGGCGGCCUGCUAAGUCUGGAGUGAAAGGUACCGGCUCAACCGGUACA